UGUGUGUGUGUGUGUGUGUGUGUGUGUGUGUGUGUGUACACGUGCGUGCGUGCGCGCGCGCACACACACACACACACACACACU
rnacentral:miRNA from 1 species